CCCGAUCUCCUUCCAUCGUAGAACAUCCCGAAAUCCUAGCGUCGUCCAUCGGGUGCGGCGGUUGCCCAGCGCGCCCCGCGGUGCCGCCGACGAGGAGUCGUAGUCCUCGAUCUCGCCCUCCCCCCUCUCCUCCGCGCCCGCCGACGCGGGCCGCGUUUCCGCGUCCUCGGCUGGGCUACCGGCGGCAGCGAUGCGGUGCGCCGUCGGCGCCGGCGGAGUUCCCAUCUUCUCCCCUACAUCGCAAGCGCAGUGCCGGUCUGCCUACGUCGGGGUUGCUCGCCACAUGGCCGACCGGAGGUGGAGCGCUGCAACCAGGAAGGAAAGGCUCUGCUGUCUUAACAAGGAUGGAAAGUAUAACAGCAUACACAAACCAACAUGGAUAACCCAUAUCUGUGAGGAAGUGGUCGGACAUUUACCCUACCAUCCAUCGACUCGUUGUUGCUGAUAUCAUAGACAGAUGGGACCUGGAAGAUACACCAGCAACAGAAGCAACAGUUCUCAAAAUUGCGAAAGAGCGAUAUAGAGGCUGGCGAUCAACUCCAAGAUUUAUGUUGCUUACUUACAUUGCUAAAAGUGCAAUUCUAUUUGCAAGUGCCUACGAAAAGGAUUGGCAAAGAAAAAAGUAGUCCAAACUUCCAAAAUACUCUUUUACAGAGAUCUUGUCCUAGUAAGACUCCAGGUGCUAGCCUAACUGUUAUUUCUUCAAAUGCGCUCAUACAAGCUGCAACAAGGAAUAUUGAAUGUUUAAAGCAAUGGAUCCAAAGAACUAGCUUGACUGGACUCUAGAUCACGGACAAUUUAGUCUUGGCACUUAAUUAGGAUGGCUAAAUUACAUUUGAGUUUCAUUUGAUGGAUAUUUGCUAUGAGAAAUAUGAAUUUUAUGAAUCUACAGAUUAUAAGUAUGGUUUUAAAUAUUGUAA